UCAGGUACUUAGUGACUCUCAA
rnacentral:miRNA from 14 species